UGAGGAAUAUUGGUCAAUGGGCGAGAGCCUGAACCAGCCAAGUAGCGUGCAGGAUGACGGCCCUAUGGGUUGUAAACUGCUUUUAUGUGGGGAUAAAGUGCGUGACGUGUCAUGCAUUGCAGGUACCACAUGAAUAAGGACCGGCUAAUUCCGUGCCAGCAGCCGCGGUAAUACGGAAGGUCCAGGCGUUAUCCGGAUUUAUUGGGUUUAAAGGGAGCGUAGGCUGUCUAUUAAGCGUGUUGUGAAAUUUACCGGCUCAACCGGUGGCUUGCAGCGCGAACUGGUCGACUUGAGUAUGCAGGAAGUAGGCGGAAUUCAUGGUGUAGCGGUGAAAUGCUUAGAUAUCAUGACGAACUCCGAUUGCGCAGGCAGCUUACUGUAGCAUAACUGACGCUGAUGCUCGAAAGUGCGGGUAUCAAACAGG
rnacentral:rRNA from 1 species